rnacentral:rRNA from 1 species
GUGGGGAAUAUUGGACAAUGGGCGAAAGCCUGAUCCAGCCAUGCCGCGUGUGUGAAGAAGGUCUUCGGAUUGUAAAGCACUUUAAGUUGGGAGGAAGGGCAGUAAGUUAAUACCUUGCUGUUUUGACGUUACCGACAGAAUAAGCACCGGCUAACUUCGUGCCAGCAGCCGCGGUAAUACGAAGGGUGCAAGCGUUAAUCGGAAUUACUGGGCGUACAGCGCGCGUAGGUGGUUUUGUAAGUUGGAGGUGAAAUCCCCGGGCUCAACCUGGGAACUGCCUCCAAAACUGCAUGACUAGAGUACGGUAGAGGGUAGUGGAAUUUCCUGUGUAGCGGUGAAAUGCGUAGAUAUAGGAAGGAACACCAGUGGCGAAGGCGACUACCUGGACUGAUACUGACACUGAGGUGCGAAAGCGUGGGGAGCAAACAGGAUUAGAAACCCCUGUAGUCC